rnacentral:lncRNA from 1 species
CCAAUUCAUAUCCACAGGAAGUCACCACUUCCGAGGUCCAGGAAGAUGACUUCCAAUGAAGUGGUUUCUGAAAACACCAACUAUCUCCGAGCACCCAGAGCUCUUGUGGAACAGAAGCAGAACCCUACCGUAGGCUUUGAGCUGUAUUCCAUGGUACCAUCCAUCUGUCCUCUAGAAACCCUUCACAAUGCCCUGUUUUUAAAGCAAGUGGAUGACUUUCUUGCUUCUAUUGCUUCUCCAUCAACUGAAGUUCUCCGCAAGGUCCCUGAAAUGUCAUCUGUGGCCUCACGGUCCAGUCCAGGAAUAAGAAGAAAGAUUUCCCUAAAUACAUACACACCUACGAAGAUCCUCCCAACACCGCCUGCUGCUGUAAAGAGCACCAAAGCAAGCAGCAAAGCAGCUGGCGGACCGUCUCUGGCAAUGGCUUCUCAUACCUCAUCUCGGAAGAAGAGCUUAAGUAGCAAAACUGAGGGGCAUGAACCCAAGAAAAGCACUGGGAAGAAAAGAUGAGCACACAGCAGAACUGGAAGUUCCCAUGCUUAGAAAGGGACUUGUUGCUUAGUAAAGGAUUUGCAGGAAACCUUGACUGACUGAAGCUGGUCCGAGCCAGUGACUCACAUGUUGCCCUGCUUUACUUUAUCCAUCUGUGUAUGUCUUUAAACACCCCGGAAGCUAGAGACCUUCUGUUUUUAUUCAGACAAGGAGCUUUGGCAGGAUGUAGAAAUGCUCAAAAUAAUGUCUGUCCGCUUUGUGUA